AGUUCGAUUCUCAGGUAUUUUUCGGUUCUGUUUUCGAUUUUCCAUUUUUACAAACAAAAAAUAAUUUCUAUUUGGUCGGUUUGGUCCAGUCCGGUUCGGUUUGAACCGAAUGGACAGCCCAAUUUCGAUUGGUCCAGUUCUGUUGAUUUCCCCCGCUCUCGUCUUUUGGUACGCCCCCACCGAUAUCACGUCUACUAACCCCCUGCUUUCAACUUAAAAUUGGUUCUUUCUUGAACUCGGAGAGGUAAAUUCCGGUCGGUAAACUCUAUGUGCUUGGAGAGAGCCUCGAGACAGCACCAGGACGGGCUUUUGGGUUCGUGCCUGGUGGAGAUUGAUAUGUGCUUUUGGUUCGAAGAACCUUGGCUCUCUACUUGUUCUUCAAGGUGGAUCGAAUCUCGAGAUUGCUCCGUAUCAGUAGCUAAUCAAUAAUACAUCCGCAAUGGAGCUGUUGUCCUGCAGGUAUAGCUCCGUGUUAGAAUUUAUCAUGGGAAUACGAAAAUAAUACUUAAAAAUUGCAUCUUUUCGCCGUUUAGUCGCACUUCUGAUUUGUCUGAAUAUAUUUGAUGUCCUUUCUGAGAUUUUUAUCGAGAUAGUGUCGCUGCCAAAGCUUGCAGUUGCGAGCAUGAAAGUAAGGACUCCCCUCUGUCUUACUGAGACCUUCCCUCUUGAUGCACAUAAUUAGGUUCUUGAGGCAUUGUAAAGGAUCAAACUAAUGGCUUUUCUUGGUUUCAUAAAACCAAAAAGUUCUUACGCACGAUAAGGACCUUAUUAUAAUUUAUAAGUUGUGCUUGGCAUCUUCCAAUCCUCCAUAUAUGUAAACUGAAGGCUGGACAAGAUCAAUAAGAUCCAUUUUUUAUCCA